UACGUAGGGGGGCUAGCGUUGUCCGGAAUCAUUGGGCGUAAAGAGCGUGUAGGCGGUCCGGUAAGUCCGCUGUGAAAGUCGGGGGGCUCAACCCUCGAAUGCCGGUGGAUACUGUCGGGCUAGAGUGCGGAAGAGGCGAGUGGAAUUCCUGGUGUAGCGGUGAAAUGCGCAGAUAUCAGGAGGAACACCUAUUGCGAAGGCAGCUCGCUGGGACGUAACUGACGCUGAGACGCGAAAAGCGUGGGGAGCAAACAGG
rnacentral:rRNA from 1 species